GACGAACGCUGGCGGCGUGCUUAACACAUGCGAGUCGAACGGAAAGGCCCUGCUUUUGUGGGGUGCUCGAGUGGCGAACGGGUGAGUAACACGUGAGUAACCUGCCCUUGACUUUGGGAUAACUUCAGGAAACUGGGGCUAAUACCGGAUAGGAGCUCCUGCUGCAUGGUGGGGGUUGGAAAGUUUCGGCGGUUGGGGAUGGACUCGCGGCUUAUCAGCUUGUUGGUGGGGUAGUGGCUUACCAAGGCUUUGACGGGUAGCCGGCCUGAGAGGGUGACCGGCCACAUUGGGACUGAGAUACGGCCCAGACUCCUACGGGAGGCAGCAGUGGGGAAUAUUGCACAAUGGGCGGAAGCCUGAUGCAGCAACGCCGCGUGCGGGAGGACGGCCUUCGGGUGGUAAACCGCUUUCGCCUGUGACGAAGCGUGAGUGACGGGAAUGGGGAAAGAAGCACCGGCUAACUACGU
rnacentral:rRNA from 1 species